GGACGGUUAGCUCAGCUGGUAGAGCACUUCCUUUACACGGAAGGGGUCGCAGGUUCAAGUCCUGCACCGUCCACCA
rnacentral:tRNA from 1 species